rnacentral:rRNA from 1 species
GACGAACGCUGGCGGCGUGCUUAACACAUGCAAGUCGAGCGGUAAGGCCCUUUCGGGGGUACACGAGCGGCGAACGGGUGAGUAACACGUGGGUGACCUGCCCUCAGCUCUGGGAUAAGCCUGGGAAACCGGGUCUAAUACCGGAUAUGACUCCAUGACGCAUGUUGUGGGGUGGAAAGCCUUGUGCGGCUGAGGAUGGGCCCGCGGCCUA